UACGGAAGGCAGCAGUGGGGAAUAUUGCACAAUGGGCGCAAGCCUGAUGCAGCCAUGCCGCGUGUAUGAAGAAGGCCUUCGGGUUGUAAAGUACUUUCAGCGGGGAGGAAGGCGAUGCGGUUAAUAACCGCGUCGAUUGACGUUACCCGCAGAAGAAGCACCGGCUAACUCCGUGCCAGCAGCCGCGGUAAUACGGAGGGUGCAAGCGUUAAUCGGAAUUACUGGGCGUAAAGCGCACGCAGGCGGUCUGUUAAGUCAGAUGUGAAAUCCCCGGGCUUAACCUGGGAACUGCAUUUUGAAACUGGCAGGCUUGAGUCUUGUAGAGGGGGUAGAAUUCCAGGUGUAGCGGUGAAAUGCGUAGAGAUCUGGAGGAAUACCGGUGGCGAAGGCGGCCCCUGGGACAAAGACUGACGCUCAGGGUGCGAAAGCGUGGGGAGCGAAACAGGGAUUAGGAUACC
rnacentral:rRNA from 1 species